GGGGACGCGCGGAUUCGACAGUGGAUGUCACCGCGGGAUUGCAGGUCGGGGCGCCUUCCACCUCGUUAACAAGAUGGCAAAAAAGUAACUGGCAACAAAGAGCUAGCACUAGCCGCUUAAGCGGCUACGUCCUUCACGUCCGAUCCCCGAAGGUAGUGAAAGGGCGACAAUAGACGGGGUGCAGUCAGUUAAAUGCCGAUAUAUCUGACUAAAGACUAUCGGCUAGUCUGUUUCAAGCGCUAGCCGGUCGGGGCUUGAGCAGUCGAACUUAAUGAUCGGAUAAGCCUGUAGUAUAUCCCGGUCGGGGUGUCUUCUGGACGGGGAGUUCGACCCUCCCCCGUCUCCACCA
rnacentral:tmRNA from 1 species